rnacentral:rRNA from 1 species
GAUGAUCCCAGCUUGCUGGGGGAUUAGUGGCGAACGGGUGAGUAACACGUGAGUAACCUGCCCUUGACUCUGGGAUAAGCCUGGGAAACUGGGUCUAAUACCGGAUACGACAUCUGACGCAUGUCAUGGUGGUGGAAAGCUUUUGUGGUUUUGGAUGGACUCGCGGCCUAUCAGCUUGUUGGUGGGGUAAUGGCCUACCAAGGCGACACGGGUAGCCGGCCUGAGAGGGUGACCGGCCACACUGGGACUGAGACACGGCCCAGACUCCUACGGGAGGCAGCAGUGGGGAAUAUUGCACAAUGGGCGAAAGCCUGAUGCAGCGACGCCGCGUGAGGGAUGACGGCCUUCGGGUUGUAAACCUCUUUCAGUAGGGAAGAAGCGAAAGUGACGGUACCUGCAGAAGAAGCGCCGGCUAACUACGUGCCAGCAGCCGCGGUAAUACGUAGGCGCAAGCGUUAUCCGGAAUUAUUGGGCGUAAAGAGCUCGUAGGCGGUUUGUCCGCGUCUGCUGUGAAAGACCGGGGCUCAACUCCGGUUCUGCAGUGGGUACGGGCAGACUAGAGUGCAGUAGGGGAGACUGGAAUUCCUGGUGUAGCGGUGAAAUGCGCAGAUUCAGGAGGAACACCGAUGGCGAAGGGCAGGUCUCUGGGCUGUAACUGACGCUGAGGAGCGAAAGCAUGGGGAGCGACAGGAUUAGAUACCCUGGUAGUCCAUGCCGUAAACGUUGGGCACUAGUGUG